GAUGAACGCUGGCGGUAUGCUUAACACAUGCAAGUCGAACGGACUCUUCGGAGUUAGUGGCGGACGGGUGAGUAACGCGUGAGAAUCUGGCUUUGGGUUCGGGACAACCACUGGAAACGGUGGCUAAUACCGGAUGUGCCGAGAGGUAAAAGAGAAAUUGCCUGAAGAUGAGCUCGCGUCUGAUUAGCUAGUUGGUGAGGUAAAGGCUCACCAAGGCAGCGAUCAGUAGCUGGUCUGAGAGGAUGACCAGCCACACUGGGACUGAGACACGGCCCAGACUCCUACGGGAGGCAGCAGUGGGGAAUUUUCCGCAAUGGGCGAAAGCCUGACGGAGCAAUACCGCGUGAGGGAAGAAGGCUCUUGGGUUGUAAACCUCUUUUCUUAGGGAAGAACAAGAUGACGGUACCUAAGGAAUCAGCAUCGGCUAACUCCGUG
rnacentral:rRNA from 1 species